UCACGGAGAGUUUGAUCCUGGCUCAGGACGAACGCUGGCGGCGUGCUUAACACAUGCAAGUCGAACGAUGAAGCCCUUCGGGGUGGAUUAGUGGCGAACGGGUGAGUAACACGUGGGCAAUCUGCCCUUCACUCUGGGACAAGCCCUGGAAACGGGGUCUAAUACCGGAUAACACUCUGUCCCGCAUGGGACGGGGUUAAAAGCUCCGGCGGUGAAGGAUGAGCCCGCGGCCUAUCAGCUUGUUGGUGGGGUAAUGGCCUACCAAGGCGACGACGGGUAGCCGGCCUGAGAGGGCGACCGGCCACACUGGGACUGAGACACGGCCCAGACUCCUACGGGAGGCAGCAGUGGGGAAUAUUGCACAAUGGGCGAAAGCCUGAUGCAGCGACGCCGCGUGAGGGAUGACGGCCUUCGGGUUGUAAACCUCUUUCAGCAGGGAAGAAGCGAAAGUGACGGUACCUGCAGAAGAAGCGCCGGCUAACUACGUGCCAACAGCCGCGGUAAUACGUAGGGCGCAAGCGUUGUCCGGAAUUAUUGGGCGUAAAG
rnacentral:rRNA from 1 species